rnacentral:rRNA from 1 species
UACGUAGGGGGCAAGCGUUGUCCGGAUUUAUUGGGCGUAAAGAGCGUGUAGGCGGCCAGAUAGGUCUGUUGUGAAAACUCGAGGCUCAACCUCGAGACGCCGAUGGAAACCAUCUGGCUAGAGUCCGGAAGAGGAGAGUGGAAUUCCUGGUGUAGCGGUGAAAUGCGCAGAUAUCAGGAAGAACACCAGUGGCGAAGGCGGUGCUCUGGGCCGGAACUGACGCUGAGGAGCGAAAGCGUGGGGAGCAAACAGG